AAUGGGCGCAAGCCUGAUCCAGCCAUGCCGCGUGAGUGAUGAAGGCCCUAGGGUCGUAAGGCUCUUUCGCCAGGGAUGAUAAUGACAGUACCUGGUAAAGAAACCCCGGCUAACUCCGUGCCAGCAGCCGCGGUAAUACGGAGGGGGUUAGCGUUGUUCGGAAUUACUGGGCGUAAAGCGCGCGUAGGCGGAUUAGUCAGUUAGAGGUGAAAUCCCGGGGCUCAACCCCGGAACUGCCUUUAAUACUGCUAGUCUUGAGUUCGAGAGAGGUGAGUGGAAUUCCGAGUGUAGAGGUGAAAUUCGUAGAUAUUCGGAGGAACACCAGUGGCGAAGGCGGCUCACUGGCUCGAUACUGACGCUGAGGUGCGAAAGUGUGGGGAGCAAACAGGAUU
rnacentral:rRNA from 1 species